GAGACCGGCCCCUUAAAGGGACAGGCGUCGCCGCCUUCGCCCUCGCGCCCUCGCGCCCUCGCGCCCGCCCGCCUGCUCGCCCGCCCGCUCGGGUUUGAAGCAAAGAAGCAUAAAUGUAUCAGUUCUUUCAACUUCUCUGAGUGAUUGGACUUUGACUUUUUAAAAGCAGGUAGAGAGAAAGCCGGCUAUUCCUGUUUUGUCUAGGGAAGACUUCCCAGAACUGAUUAACUCAUGAAGUUGGCGAGACUAUCACAUAUUUUAAAAGACGAACCAAAGAACUGUGAAACACCUGUUGAAUUAUUUUGGAGUAAAACUCAUGAUGUCUAUAACAUACUUUCAAAUGAUCCAGCCAAAAUAUGCAUAGAGAAAGGCAAUAUGUAAAAAUGUCAGCAACUGUUGUGUCUAAGAGUUUCCUUUAUUCCAAACUCCACUGCGUCUCUCCACCCUCAACCGCAUGGGCAGAACUGGUGCAUGAUUCAAAUGCAGCGGGAGACGCCAAGUCCUCCCUGCUCCCCGCUUCCCAGUGUAGCGGCCCGCGCGCCCGUCCCGGUCCCCGUCCCCGUCCCUGUCUCGGAAAGGUAAAAUGACAACAAGUUUCUUCUGUAUAGCACAGGGAACUAUAUUCAACAUCUUGUAGUAACCUAUAAUGAAAAAGAAUAUGAAAACAAAUAUCUGCAUGUGUAUCUAUGACUGAAACAUUGUGCUGUACACCAGAAAUCAACACAUCAUUGUAAACUGACUAUACUUCAAUUUAAAAAAAAAGCCACUGACCCAUGAAGUGUCUUCCUCUUGCAAAUUGUACAAGUGUAUCCAGAACAAUAUGGAGCCCACAGAGCGUGGACCCAACAUUCCACUGACCACUCAGGAUUGUGUUCCUGCCGAGUCAAGUCUCCUGGCACCCAGGGUGCCCAGAGCUCUGACUUGGGCUGAGAUGCAAGAGCUAUAAGCACGAUGGGAAACAUGAAAAAUAGCAGAAGAAGCCCUUGACUUUGAGGUGUGAAAUCAAAAGUAACCAAUAAUACUUUGCUCUUGUUCACAAGCACCUCAGUGCAUUCCAGAACUGCCAUUCCAAAUAUUAAACAGGAACCUUUGUUCAGAGAUUGGCUCAGAUGUGCCCAUUAAAUCUCAGCUUGAAGCUACUUCUGCCUGUUCCUCCCUCACAAGUCUCAUAAUGCGUGGCCCUGGGCCCACAGCCCUGCAUCAUGGUUCUUUAUCAUAUUGAAGAAUGGUGCUGAACAACAACAUUACCCAAGAGUGUGAGUGUGAUUGGAAAGAUGAAUGGAAGGUUUGUAUUUUGGUUUGUGACUUCGGUCACUGCUUGCCUCUCUGCCUCUCAAGCUGCCCAUUUCAAUUCAAAUCAAGCCGUGCUUCUCAGACUGUGUGUUCCAACAGGCUGUACGUGCAGCUGCUGCCUUCCAUCCAUCACAGCCCAACUUACCCCACUCCAAGUUCCAGGUCAGCAUUUCCUGAUUGCAUUCCUUGUCCCCGUCAUGCUUCGAGCUGCCCUACUUCUAGCCAUUCAUCACCCAGCAAUUGUUGCUGUUAGCUGUCUUUCUCACAUGACCAGUCCUGCGAAGUUUACCAGACAGGAAGGCCAGUGGGCUGGCUGCAAGCCAGGAUGUUGCCCGGGCUUUGUUAGUGACCUUAAGUAUCAUAGAUAAAUGCCACUAGUGAAAUCUGGGCUAAAGUUGAAUGUAAUCCCCAAGGACAUCAAAGGCCUAGCUCUUUCUCUGCACAGUUAGAAAGCGUCCUUGAUUCCACACUUGGGCUGCAGUAUGGACCAGUGAUUCAGCACACAGAUUUUGAGUCAGACUACAGAGGUCUGCCACAAACUUGAGAAGUUACUUUAGCUCUGCUCAGUUAGAUAGCUCUGAGGGUCAUGUAAGAACUGAAUGAGUUAAUUUAUAUAGAACACUUAGAACAAUGCCUGUCCCAUUAGGAGUCCUAUAAGGGUUUGCUAUUGCCAUUUUUCUGCUCACUCUGCUUAGUGUGCUUAGGUUGACCAUUUCAGAUCACUUAUUUAUCCCUUCAAUCAAUAUUUAGUGAGUGCCUAUGGUGUGCCAGGCACUGUGGACAGUGAUCCAUUUCCUUGACGGUAAGACUUGGCAUGGUUAUCUGGAAACCCUCUUGCAAUCAAAGCUGUGCUACUUACUAUGGAAGCAAUAAGACCCCAGAGAAGAAAGUGCUGACCAGUGUGCCUAGGCAGCAGAUCCCUGGGCAGCCUCUCUUGAGUCCCAUACUCCCAGCACAGCCUAGGGAGAACAGAGGCUGACAGAGGACAUGGAAGACAGCGUCAGCUGGACCCGAUGCUCGCUCCCUCCCCACAACACCCGAUUCACCCUGAAACUGACACGUUCUCAGGUAGAGGAGGAGGUUGGAGGGAGGACAGGGGUAGAUGAAGGGGGAGGUGUAGAGGAAUCCUGCAAAUGGCUAAGGUUAUCUUUCCAGCCAGUGUGGCAAGAUGAAGAUUCAAGAUAGAAUUAAAUUGAGUUAGAGAAAAUUACUAGGGUAAAGCAUAUGGAAUUGCUGAUAUUUCACAGUUUUUGACUUAUAAAAAUCAGCUUAUAUGAUUCAACCUGUAAAAGUUACAAUAUUUCUUGUGUCCCCUCAGUCUGUAAAAUAGUCAUAUCUGCCUCAUCUGUUAUAAAUUGUUUAUUGUCUUGGAGAAACUCACGUAUAAGAAAUCAUAAUCAGGAGAACUGGGGCUCAGAUUGAAACAUUGAGAGGAAUUUGGGCUACCCGUGUUAGAAAUUCGACGAAUGAGGUCUCCAAAGCCCAGAUAACAACUGACAUGUGGAAGUCUUAUUUAUUCAACUCUAUAAACCAGCAUCAACUGAUUGAAUUUUCUUUCUUUAGUUCACUUUCUAACUAGAUCCUAGUAAUAUUCCUUCACAAAAUGGGCUUAUUAAAAAGCUCAGGAAGAUUUGAGGUCUCCAGAACUUCUCGGGGACCAAGGUAAAUUGUGGGCUGUGUUCCUUGACAAAUUCUUUAUCCUUAUUAAAUUUUUAGAUACAGCCUCAUCUGGUUGGAUCUAGAAUAUAGAUUACACAUUUUUAAAGAGUGACUCCCUAGAUCACCAAGAUUAUAGACAUUUCAUCUACAAUGAAUACCAAAACAUGUCUCACAGAUCUUGAAAACAAAUGUACCCAAUGCUCUAGCAAAUUUUUUAUCUAGAAAUUUACUUGAAGAGUAUAAUUAAAGAUGUACUUGAAGAUGUAAACACAAAAUUCAUAUUAGAGAAAAUAGCAACUAGAAUAAUUCGAGUGGGGUUAAUUUACAAAGGUAUGGAGUAGUUGUAGGAAAACUACAGUGGUGUGGAUACCCAGCGCUUCCAGCAGCAGCAGAACUGUCCCCGUUAGGCCCAGUAAAAAAAGACAAGGGAAGGACUGGUUUUGAGAGCUAGGAAGAAAGGGUGGUGUAGGGUUAGCCUCAUAAGGAUAGAGAUUUUCAGUUAUGGAGCACAGCCAGCUCUAGGAGAUCUGACAAGGAGGGAGCCGGGAUGAAUACUCUGACCUCACUCCUGUCCUUUGCUCCAGUCUUCUGCUGGGGCUGGACCUAACAGGAAGCUAGAGGGCAAAGGAACCAGUUAUUAUACUCCAUAAAGAGAGUGGAGUUGAGAAAAGGAUGGAGAAAAGUAGGAAGUGGAUCUGAAGGAAUAAAAGAUUUCCAACAUAAAGAUGUUCAUUGCAGCACUGUUUAUAAUAACAAAAGAUUAGAAAUAGCCCGUGUCCCAAACUAGGGAAAUUUUUUUUAACAAUUUAAGAUACAUGUACCAAGUGAAAUCCAGUGCAACCAUUACAAAUAUUAAUGUAAAAAAGCUCACAAAGCAAACUGUAUAAUGUGCCUUAUCUUUUGUUUUAAAAACUAUAUAUGGAUAUCAAUAUGGGUUUUUAUAUGUGUAUAUAUACACAUACAGUACAUGCGCACACAUUCAUAGGGAAAAAAAGGUUUAAAGUAUAUGCACCAAGAUGUUAAUGGCAGUUAUCAUAGGGAGAGUAGAGUUAUAGUUAAUUUUAUGCAGGGUUUUUUUGUUUUUGAGGAAGGAAGGUUUAAUGUAAAAAGUUACUAACUAUAGCAGAGGAUUGGAGUAACAAGGAUUCAGCUGGUAAGAAACAAGAACUCUAAAGAAUAUAAGAAGGGCAGAUACAAGGAGCUGCCACAACCCCUAAGUCUGAGACAGUAGGCCAAAGGACCUCCCCACCCCACCCUCUCAUGUGGCGGGGAGGAUACUGAACUGCUGCUGUGCUGUUGAAACUUGCGCAAAGUGUACUUUCCAGGUUUCUGGGUAAACCAGAAGUGUUCUUUUGCAAAACCACAACCACUGGAGGGGUUGGAUGGGGCUACUGGGGAAAGCUUCUGGCCACAGGAGCCUGCCAAGGCAGUGCACUGGAACAAGGGAGGAAAAUCCCGUCCAUCUGCGAUGAAACUUCGGCUUCCUGUACUGAUAAAGUUUAACAUGUGUAUCAGCUGGCAAAGGAAAAGUAUAUAUCUCCAUUUUUGCAGAACAGGCAAUGAAGUAUGAAUUUGAAGCUGAAAAGUGAUAAACUGAUAAGUGGCACACACUUUAAAACCUACCACCCAGGAGGACUGCGUAUGAACACACACACCUAUGUAUCCGGUUUAUAACCUGCUAUUUUCCUGUGGUAGAUGCUGUGGGUAUCUUUCUAUGUCAAUAAAUAUAGCUCUACGUCAACACUUUUCAUUGCUGAAUAGUAUAUAUACACUCUGUUUUAUGUAACUGAUUUCCUAUCAGUAAACAUUUAAAUUAUAUCCUAUUUUUAUGAACAAUGCUAUGUUAAACUUCUUUAAAUAAUUAUUUUCCCAUAUUAAAUUACUAGAAGUUGAAUUGUUGGAUUAACAGUUGUGUUAA